rnacentral:lncRNA from 1 species
AUGAUUGAUUCCUCAAUCAGCAGAUGCCCUUGGUUUAGAGGUGAAGAAGGUGGUCAGCAGAGUCUUGGAAACUCUUGCCAUAAACUAUUAUCACUCAGAACUCUGGUUUUCAGAAAAGAUAGCCACUGGAUAAUGACUGAUGACAUCACUGUGUCAGACCAGAAGGGUCUGUUCCAGCUGGGUGAGGUGAGUGGGGGGAGGAGGAGGGAGAAGGAGAGAGUGUGAGGCAGGGUGAGAGUUGAAGGAGGCUGGAAAGAGGGUAGGCGGCAAGUGAGAGAACUGUGCUUUUAUUAGUUCGGUCUGCCCAGUUUAAGAAAUAGCAGGUUCUUCUCUGAAGAACCUUGCUUCUCAUUUAUUUCUGCAGAUCUUUUCUCCCUGUGACCAAGUUGCAUUCUGAGUCCCCCAGUUUAAGAGGCAGGUGUAUUUUCUUUAUCCCUCAAUAUUGGGAAAUAGACUCAGCACCACUGUUUUUUCUGUAAGUCCAGUGGCUGAAAGGUGCUGCUACAGGUAUAGGGAGCCAGGUGUUCUUUGCUAUCUACGACCAUAGUUUAGAGAAUUCCAGAGGUAAAAGUAAUAAAGAAUAUGGAUAUCUACAUUUUCAUGAUGAAAAUACCCUUUCUGAUUUUUCAUUAGGAAAAUUUUCAAAAGCAGAUAAUGAUAAAAUGAACAGUGCUCCCAUGUACCUAUCCUGAGUAUGGGGACCCAUGUACCUGUCACCAACUUCAACAGUUACCAACAUCCUAUUGAUUCUGUCCUCUUGGUUCCUCACAGCAACUGUCAGACAUCACAGCACUGCAUCUGGAAAGACGUCAGAAUGUACUUCUAACCAAUAAGGGCUUUGUUUUUAACCAUAACAUAAUUUAUUUUUUAAUGUAAUAAUUGUCUUUAUUUUUAAAUUUUGCAUUGGAGUAUAGUUGAUUUACAAUGUUGUUUUAGUUUCAGAUAUACAGCAAAGAGAUUUAGUUAUAUAUCUGCCAUCCUUAUGGCAGAAAGUGAAGAGGAACUAAAAAGCAUCUUGAUGAAA